UCACAAACCCCUUUCACUGUGUGCCCAGCCCUGGCCAACAAGGGCUUAUUCAGCACCGGCCUGUGUCCCGUUGCUGGGGAGGGCAGGGCCGGAGCGGGAAGAACAUUUGUGUAACGUGGAAGGCAUGCUUCUCUCAAAGGGUGGGAGCAGGCGAUUCCCAGAGAAGGACACGCAGGGAGGCCGUCCGUCGGUGACCAGACGCCUGACCUCAUACACCGGCAAUGAUGCACAUGUCAGACCCAGCUUGUAGCCGCUCAGCCCACCCGACAGACAGCACCAGUGCCCAGUGGCAGCCAGCCCCAUGCAGAUGAAAGAAAAAGGCACAGCCCAGGGCGGAUGCUUCUGAGGUGCAGGUGCCUGUCUGUCAUCGGGCAGGAGCCCGCAGGUGGACAGCAUGGGGCCCGCACACCUGGGGACCGGGCGAGGGGUGUGGAGCGCCGUGGGGCACCCUGCAGCAUCGGGUACAUCUGCGUGUGGACAGCAGGACAUCAAGAGUCGAAAAGCAGGACCCGGGGUGAGGAAAGAGACAUGCCGGUCACUCAAUGAAAUAACCAUGGAAACGCUGGAUUCAGCGGAGGCGUCCACCUGCCCAGCCGCUCCCCCCGGAACUUCCUCCUUCAGUCCGGGGACCGCAUCCAGCUUCUCCGGGGCCCGCGUGAAACAGGCUCGCCCCUCACCCGGCAGCCACCCAGAGUCCCGGCUUAUCCAUCACUGUCAGGCUCCGAGAGCAGCUCUGUUCUGAAUGCCCGGCCGCUUCUGCAACACACAGGAGGGAACAGGGGUCCACGUGAGACCGGCCACUGGCAGAGGCCUGGGUCAGGCUGAAAGGUGCCUUGCGAGAUGGGCACUCGCCAGCCUGCUCCAGCCAGAGCCCAGUUCCUUCUGAGAAUCACACGGCCAGACAGAGGCUUGCUGAGAAGUGGGUGUCCUCCUCUCUGUCCAGCCCCAGCUGCACGGAAGCGAAGCCGGCCCCAGCGUGACUGAGUCCAGAGCCCAGCCCUGAGCACUCACCAAGGGCCAGGACGAGUCAGUGUGUGGGGCAGGUGCCGCCCCCACGACCUCAUUCCCAAGCUCCCUCUGUGUCCCCGCAGCCCGUGCUGGCCAGGGAGGCAGGAGGGCAUGGCAGGUGCUCCCAGAGCUCGCUUCUCUGCGCGUUCCCGCCGCCCUCCCUCCCUGGUCCUGCGGGCUGCCGGCCUCAGGAUCCAGGUCACCUUAGGUGGCAAAGUUGGAGCCGUGCCCCACCUGCCUUCACUGGCUCAUGUUGACUCCUUCAUCUACGAGACAGUCUGAGCUUGAGGCUUGGAAACUCUCCUCUGCCGGACCUAGCUCUGGGCCAUGGAUGCACAGAGCCCUGAGCUCAGAGACCAGGAGAGGCUGGCACCAUGCUCCACCCAGCAGGUGGCUCCAGGUCAUCUGGAGUGUCCCAAAGCUGCAAGGCUGAGGGAGGCUCCCCCUUCCUGGAGGGGCCCAGGCAGCCCUUGGGAUGGAGCCAGGGACGGUCCCUGACCCCAGGAGCUCCCUCUCCUCCCACGCCUUCCACAGACCCAUCUCCCUCAGGACUGCCUUAACUUGGGGUCACCUAGAAAUAGGUUUAUGGGGAGGCCAUCCCAGGGAACUUUCGCAGGAAUGAGGGCUGAGAUGGGGAAGGGCUGUUGUCACCACCAUGGGGGAUUGCUCCAGUGAGAGGGCCAGCACGGGACCCUCAGAGUCUUCCCACCCAAGGGUCAUGAGAUCCGGGUCAGAGGUCACAGGCUGCUCCUAGGGCCUCUAGAUCUCUGGAGAGCCCUUGGCUGCAGUUUGCCGAUGCCAAUGGCUGGAGGUCAGCUGGCACUCCCACCACGAUGGCCAGCGGACAACAACAGUGUGGGCACAGUGAUGGGCACCCCCCCGUGUCCACUCGGCCGGGCUGCAGUGCCCAGCGGCACGGUCAAGCCCCAUCCAGAUGCCACUGUGGCUGUGCUGCAGGUGUGAUGGACACGCACAAUUGGCUAAUUGCAAGUGCUGCAGAUCACGAGAUGUGGCUGGGCCUCAGCUGCAGCUGAAGAUGAACGCCGAGGCUUCCUGGAGAAGGAUUUCUGCCCCAAGACUGCAACAUAAAAUCCUGCCCGGGCUCCCAGCCUGCUCCCCUGCGGGUCUGCCCUGCAGAUUUCAGAUUCAUCAGCCUGGACCAUCACAUGGGCCAGCGCAUUAAAUCAAUCUCCCUGUGUCUGUGUCUCUGUCUCUCUCCCUCCAAAGGGCGCUGACUGAUACGGGACCCUCUGUGUCUCUGCCUCAGGGCCAGGCUCCAGCCCCCGAGAGCCCCUGGUGGCUCAGCCUCUUCCCCACAGCCCUGCCCUCCACGAGGACGCUUUCGGCCCUUGGUGCUCUCUGUGUUACGGAUUUAUAGGGCUGUGCCCUGGGCCUGGACCUAAGGGGGUCGGGAGCAAUGUCUGGACUUCCUGCCACCCUCAAGGUACGCAGGUAUGUGUGUGCUCAGGAUGAUUUAUGUAGAGGAAACUGGGGGGAAACUCCUUGCAAAUAAACCUCUGAGAUCCUACAGACCUCAGGGGGAUGG
rnacentral:lncRNA from 1 species